GCCGCUGCGUGCAGCUCACUGCCACCUUUAACUUCCAGUCAGUCUCACCAUCAAGCUGGUCUGUUCGAAUAAAGCAUGAACCUAGAAGCUGGACUAAAACUCAAGAGGCUUCUGCCCUUUGGAUUGGGUUGGUCAUCUAAGAGAACAACUCCUGUAAGAAAAGGCUGGCUCCUCAUUAUUCUUCACCUACAAUAUUUCAAGACAAUGAGGUAGCACUCUAUCACCACAUGGUGCCUAUGAAGGAGGGAAGCAGAAGAGCUGCAGUAAUGGCAAGUUUCAAUGCAAUGCAAUUAUUGUUAUUAAAGAAUCUGGAAUUACCCACAA